rnacentral:rRNA from 1 species
ACUCCUACGGGAGGCAGCAGUAGGGAAUCUUCCACAAUGGACGAAAGUCUGAUGGAGCAACGCCGCGUGAGUGAAGAAGGGUUUCGGCUCGUAAAACUCUGUUGUUAAAAGAAGAACAUAUCUGAGAGUAACUGUUCAGGUAUUGACGGUAUUUAACCAGAAAGCCACGGCUAACUACGUGCCAGCAGCCGCGGUAAUACGUAGGUGGCAAGCGUUGUCCGGAUUUAUUGGGGCGUAAAGCGAGCGCAGGCGGUUUUUAAGUCUGAUGUGAAAGCCUUCGGCUCAACCGAAGAAGUGCAUCGGAAACUGGGAAAACUUGAGUGCAGAAGAGGACAGUGGGAACUCCAUGUGUAGCGGUGAAAUGCGUAGAUAUAUGGAAGAACACCAGUGGCGAAGGCGGCUGUCUGGUCUGUAACUGACGCUGAGGCUCGAAAGUAUGGGUAGCAAACAGGAUUAGAUACCCUGGUAGGAUAGCG